rnacentral:RNase_P_RNA from 1 species
AACGGCCGCGCAGCAGGAUGCCGAAAGGUGCUGCUGUGAGGAAAGUCCGGGCUCCGCAGGGCAGGAUAGCUGAUAACGUCAGCCGCGGGUAACCGCCGGGAAAGUGCAACAGAAAUAAACCGCCCGCAAGGGCAAGGGUGGAAAGGCGAGGUAAGAGCUCACCCACUCCCAUGGUAACAUGGGUUUGCUGUAAACCCUAUCCGGAGCAACACCUUAUGAGACGAGUUGGCCCGACGCAAGUCUUUGGUGGCAGGCAUUUUGCCGAGCAGACCGGUGACGGUCUGCAAAGAUAGAUGGUCGUUCUCGACAGAACCCGGCUUACAGAC